GGAAAAUCACUGGAAGGUUUAAGCAGGGGGGUGAGCGAUGGGAUCUGCUUUAUAAUUUUUAACGUUUUCUCUGGCUACUGUGUGAAGCCCGUGUUGGUGAGGGGAGAGAGUGGAAGCCGGGGAACCAGUCAGGGAUGCUUACAACCAUCCAGGGAAGCAGCGAAGAGAGCUUAAAGCGAGAUGGAGCAGUUUGCGGGAGGCUGACGGGCUGGCCAUGUGCACGGGAGGCUGAAGCGAAGCGGACGAGAAGAGGAGCCCCGUCUGGAAAGUCCAGGAGGUGUUGGGAGUGGCACUGACACGGAGGGUGAGGUCCCCGAGAUGAUGCUUGAGCCUGCGAUGGAGACGAGGACCUUGAGACGGAUGUCAAAGUCCUGUGUGAGCAAAGAAGCCACCACAGGGCACGUGGCAGACGCGGAAGAUGAGGAAACUGAGGCUCAGGGAGGUGAAGUGACAUGCCCAAGGACAUGGAGUUAAUGGGUGGUAGAGAUGGACUUUGAACUCAGGGCUAAUUCCAGUGUCCACGUGUUUGACCACUGUCCUAUGCUGCCUCCAUGGAGAGAGAAGGACAAGAUCUCAGGGAACAACAGGGUCGUGGAGACGAAGGUUUGCAUGCGAGUCUGCGAUAAACUGACAAAAACCAGGUCAGCUUUUCUUCGAGUAACAGUGAUGACCACAGACACUGAGGGUCACCUACCCCAAAGCCCAUUUCUCCUUCUUCAGUGCCGACAGAAUUCUGCUCUUGUCCGGGAACACCCUCCUCACACAAUCCAGGUGAAUCCUGACUGGUCUAAGCCGAUCUUAGGGGCGUCAUCCCUCUUGGCUGUGAUUGGUUCACUGGUGGGCAUGUGAUCCAAUUAGCUCCUGUAAAAAAAUUUUAAUUGUGGUGAAAUAUACAUAACAUGAAAUUUAACAUUUUAGCCACUCUAAAGUGCCAGUUAACUCUUUAAAAAGAGACAGCUGGAGGAGCCAGCCUGGUGGCACAGCGGUUAAGUUCGCACGUUCUGCUUCCAUGGCCCAGGGUUUGCUGGUUCAGAUCCCCGGUGCGGACCUACACACCAGUUGGCAAGCCAUGCUGUGGCAGGCAUCCCACAUAUAAAGUAGAGGAAGAUGGGCACAGAUGUUAGUUCAAGGCCAGUCUUCCUCAGCAAAAAGAGGAAGAUUGGUGGCAGAUGUUAGCUCAGGGCUAAUCUUCCUCAAAAAAAAAAAGAGAGAGACAGCUGGACUUGUUGCUGGGACUUGGUUGGUGAAGACUGAGUGCCUGGAGCUGCUGCAGCUAUCUUGUGAUCCUGAGGAUAGGAGCCAACACACUGAGGAUGGUAGAAUGAGAAUAUAGGAAGGAAUCUGAUGUGGUUGCUGAGCUGCUGGAUCGUUCCUACCUCUGCCUUUCUUCAUACAUGAGAUAAUAAACCUCCUGGCUGUCUAGGCUAUUUUGAGUUGAUCUUCUACUACUGGUAGCUGAAAGUGUACUGAUACAGUGGCAAUGCAGGAGGUAGAAUAGUUCUUGCCUGGAAAAGGUAUAAGUAUAAGGAACUUUCUCAUCUCUAGGGGCUACUAUCCUGGCCCGGGUCCACUGACCUUUGGUUCUAAUGAGAAUGAAGAUCUCGUCCUGGGUAAGUAGUGAUUGUGACCUGGGACAUCAUUGAAUAAGCUUGCAGGAUCUACCAAAGGUACAGUCUUGGCCGUCUGGGGGUUCAGUUCACCAAACAUUGAUUAAGUAUGUCCACGGUGCUGGGAUCAUCAGGACGAAUCGGACACAGCCUCCGCCCUGGAGGGGCUCACAGGCAGUGGGAGAGACGAUCGCAGGCCAGCAAUGAGUCCUGUGUGGGUCUACGCAAGAUCCGGACACUGACUUGCAAAGUAGCGGGGGAACUUCACGCAGGCAGUUUGAAGGACGAUAAAAGAAGGGUCAGAAAAGCAGGCAUUUCUAGGUGGAAUGAACAGCCUAUGCAAACUCAGGGCGACAUGGCUGUCUCAGAAAAAAUUACAAGUCUUUUAGCCUCAUGGCAACAGGACUGGCCACUUACACGCCGUCUGUCUCUGAGCAAUUUACUUGACGUCCCUGAGGCUCAGAAUUCACAUUUAUAAGAAAAAGAGAAAAGAAAGAAAGUGAAAUGGUUGCGAAAUAAGGUAACAGAAUCUAUAUGCCAACCACAAUGCUGGCAUCUAUUAGGUGUACACGAAAUGCUCUUUAUUAUUCAUCCAUGCUUGUCACAUGGUUCUAAUUCAUUAUCUUCCCUGACCCAGGUGGCUUCCUUCCCUUUCUCACUCAUUCCUGAGCCUGGUAGCCAGGGCCCCAGACUCCCGCAGACUUGUCCUCGGGCAGGAAACCCGAGCCCGCUGCCUGGCCCGACGGCUUCUAAGGCUGAGUGGUUUGUGUUAUUUCUUCUCUUUUCUUUCUCUCUCUCUCUCUUUUUCCCUAAAUGCAACAAAAUAAAACCAAACAAAAAGCCCAACGCCUGGCGUGGCUCGUCAGGGAGUUAUGC
ensembl:lncRNA